AGAGUUUGAUCCUGGCUCAGGAUAAACGCUGGCGGCGCACAUAAGACAUGCAAGUCGAACGAACUUAAUCGAUUCUUUUAGAUUCGAAGCGGUUAGUGGCGGACUGGUGAGUAACACGUAAGCAACCUACCUGUUAGAGGGGAAUAACAGUGAGAAAUCACUGCUAAAACCGCAUAUGCCGUGAACAUCGCAUGAUGAAAACGGGAAAAGAGCAAUCUGCUAAUAGAUGGGCUUGCGUCUGAUUAGCUAGUUGGUGUGGUAAAGGCAUACCAAGGCAACGAUCAGUAGCCGGACUGAGAGGUUGAACGGCCACAUUGGGACUGAGAUACGGCCCAGACUCCUACGGGAGGCAGCAGUCGGGAAUAUUGCGCAAUGGAGGAAACUCUGACGCAGUGACGCCGCGUAUGGGAAGAAGGUUUUCGGAUUGUAAACCAUUUUAGACAAGGAAGAAACAAGACAGUACUUGUAGAAUAAGCUCCGGCUAACUACGUGCCAGCAGCCGCGGUAAUACGUAGGGAGCAAGCGUUAUCCGGAUUUAUUGGGUGUAAAGGGUGCGUAGACGGGAAGGUAAGUUAGUUGUGAAAUCCCUCGGCUCAACUGAGGAACUGCGACUAAAACUGCUUUUCUUGAGUGCUGGAGAGGAAAGUGGAAUUCCUAGUGUAGCGGUGAAAUGCGUAGAUAUUAGGAGGAACACCGGUGGCGAAGGCGGCUUUCUGGACUGUAACUGACGCUGAGGCACGAAAGCGUGGGGAGCAAACAGGAUUAGAUACCCUGGUAGUCCACGCCGUAAACG
rnacentral:rRNA from 1 species